GGUGAGGUGUCCGAGUGGCUGAAGGAGCACGCCUGGAAAGUGUGUAUACGGCAACGUAUCGAGGGUUCGAACCCCUCUCUCACCA
rfam:Erwinia billingiae strain Eb661 complete chromosome.